rnacentral:rRNA from 1 species
GAGAACUGCCAUACCAUGCUGAAAACACAGGUUCUCGUCCGAUCCCCGAAGUUAAGCAGCAGUUUUUUUUAUCCUCUUCUCUCGAUCCAUCGUGCACAAAAAUAGAGAAAGAGAGAAUAGGGUUUAUUGGCGUAAGCGGCCAUUAACUGACAAAAGAAAUCUGACUCACAUUAAAAAGUACUUGGUUAGUACUUGGAUGGGUGACCGCCUGGGAAUCUCAGAUGCUGUUCUCU